rnacentral:rRNA from 1 species
UGAGUAACCUGCCCUUAACUCUGGGAUAAGCCUGGGAAACUGGGUCUAAUACCGGAUAUGACUCCUCAUCGCAUGGUGGGGGGUGGAAAGCUUUUUGUGGUUUUGGAUGGACUCGCGGCCUAUCAGCUUGUUGGUGAGGUAAUGGCUCACCAAGGCGACGACGGGUAGCCGGCCUGAGAGGGUGACCGGCCACACUGGGACUGAGACACGGCCCAGACUCCUACGGGAGGCAGCAGUGGGGAAUAUUGCACAAUGGGCGAAAGCCUGAUGCAGCGACGCCGCGUGAGGGAUGACGGCCUUCGGGUUGUAAACCUCUUUCAGUAGGGAAGAAGCGAAAGUGACGGUACCUGCAGAAGAAGCGCCGGCUAACUACGUGCCAGCAGCCGCGGUAAUACGUAGGGCGCAAGCGUUAUCCGGAAUUAUUGGGCGUAAAGAGCUCGUAGGCGGUUUGUCGCGUCUGCCGUGAAAGUCCGGGGCUCAACUCCGGAUCUGCGGUGGGUACGGGCAGACUAGAGUGAUGUAGGGGAGACUGGAAUUCCUGGUGUAGCGGUGAAAUGCGCAGAUAUCAGGAGGAACACCGAUGGCGAAGGCAGGUCUCUGGGCAUUAACUGACGCUGAGGAGCGAAAGCAUGGGGAGCGAACAGGAUUAGAUACCCUGGUAGUCCAUGCCGUAAACGUUGGGCACUAGGUGUGGGGGACAUUCCACGUUUUCCGCGCCGUAGCUAACGCAUUAAGUGCCCCGCCUGGGGAGUACGGCCGCAAGGCUAAAACUCAAAGGAAUUGACGGGGGCCCGCACAAGCGGCGGAGCAUGCGGAUUAAUUCGAUGCAACGCGAAGAACCUUACCAAGGCUUGACAUGGGCCGGACCGGGCUGGAAACAGUCCUUCCCCUUUGGGGCCGGUUCACAGGUGGUGCAUGGUUGUCGUCAGCUCGUGUCGUGAGAUGUUGGGUUAAGUCCCGCAACGAGCGCAACCCUCGUUCCAUGUUGCCAGCGCGUAAUGGCGGGGACUCAUGGGAGACUGCCGGGGUCAACUCGGAGGAAGGUGGGGACGACGUCAAAUCAUCAUGCCCCUUAUGUCUUGGGCUUCACGCAUGCUACAAUGGCCGGUACAAAGGGUUGCGAUACUGUGAGGUGGAGCUAAUCCCAAAAAGCCGGUCUCAGUUCGGAUUGGGGUCUGCAACUCGACCCCAUGAAGUCGGAGUCGCUAGUAAUCGCAGAUCAGCAACGCUGCGGUGAAUACGUUCCCGGGCCUUGUACACACCGCCCGUC